AGCGAACGCUGGCGGCAGGCUUAACACAUGCAAGUCGAACGGGCAUCUUCGGAUGUCAGUGGCAGACGGGUGAGUAACACGUGGGAACGUACCCUUCGGUUCGGAAUAACUCAGGGAAACUUGAGCUAAUACCGGAUACGCCCUUUUGGGGAAAGGUUUACUGCCGAAGGAUCGGCCCGCGUCUGAUUAGCUUGUUGGUGGGGUAACGGCCUACCAAGGCGACGAUCAGUAGCUGGUCUGAGAGGAUGAUCAGCCACACUGGGACUGAGACACGGCCCAGACUCCUACGGGAGGCAGCAGUGGGGAAUAUUGGACAAUGGGCACAAGCCUGAUCCAGCCAUGCCGCGUGAGUGAUGAAGGCCUUAGGGUUGUAAAGCUCUUUUGUCCGGGACGAUAAUGACGGUACCGGAAGAAUAAGCCCCGGCUAACUUCGUG
rnacentral:rRNA from 1 species